UGCAAGUAGAACGGUCCCGAUAGCAAUAUCGGGAAAGUUGCGAACGGCUGAGUAAUCAAUAGGAAUCUUUCCUUUAGUGUGGAAUACCUCAUCGAAAGAUGAGCUAAUACCGCAUAAUACCUACGGGUGAAAGCAAUUAACUUUGCGCUGAUUGAGGAGCCUAUUGCCCAUCAGGCAGUUGGUAGGGUAAUGGCCUACCAAACCUACGACGGGUACCCGAUCUGAGAGGAUGGACGGGCAGAAUGGGACUGAGACACGGCCCAUACACCUACGGGUGGCAGCAACUGGGAAUCGUACACAAUGGACGAAAGUCUGAUGUCGCGACGCCGCGUGAAGGAUGAAGGCGUUUUCGUUGUAAACUUCUUUUGAUUUGAUGGAGACAUCAAGUAGAAUAAGCACCUGCUAAUCUCGUGCCAGCAGCCGCGGUAAUACGAGAGGUGCAAGCGUUGUCCGGAUUUAUUGGGCGUAAAGCGUUUCUAAAGGCUCUUUUGUAAGUUAAUUUUCAAAGACCGGGGCUCAACCUCGGGAAGGGGGUUAAUACUGCAAGAGUGGAGAUAUUUCGGGGUUACUAGAACUAUCGGUGUAGGGGUGAAAUCCGUUGAUAUCGAUAGGAAUUCCAAGGGCGAAGGCAGGUAACUAGGAAUGUUCUGACGCUGAUGAACGAAAGCUAGGGUAGCGAAAGGGAUUAGAGACCCCUGUAGUCCUAGCCGUAAACUAUCCCCGCUAGAGAUGAGGCGUAAGCU
rnacentral:rRNA from 1 species